ACUAAGCGUACACGGUGGAUGCCCUGGCAGUCAGAGGCGAUGAAGGACGUGCUAAUCUGCGAUAAGCGUCGGUAAGGUGAUAUGAACCGUUAUAACCGGCGAUUUCCGAAUGGGGAAACCCAGUGUGAUUCGUCACACUAUCAUUAACUGAAUCCAUAGGUUAAUGAGGCGAACCGGGGGAACUGAAACAUCUAAGUACCCCGAGGAAAAGAAAUCAACCGAGAUUCCCCCAGUAGCGGCGAGCGAACGGGGAGCAGCCCAGAGCCUGAAUCAGUGUGUGUGUUAGUGGAAGCGUCUGGAAAGGCGCGCGAUACAGGGUGACAGCCCCGUACACAAAAAUGCACAUGCUGUGAGCUCGAUGAGUAGGGCGGGACACGUGGUAUCCUGUCUGAAUAUGGGGGGACCAUCCUCCAAGGCUAAAUACUCCUGACUGACCGAUAGUGAACCAGUACCGUGAGGGAAAGGCGAAAAGAACCCCGGCGAGGGGAGUGAAAAAGAACCUGAAACCGUGUACGUACAAGCAGUGGGAGCACGCUUAGGCGUGUGACUGCGUACCUUUUGUAUAAUGGGUCAGCGACUUAUAUUCUGUAGCAAGGUUAACCGAAUAGGGGAGCCGAAGGGAAACCGAGUCUUAACUGGGCGUUAAGUUGCAGGGUAUAGACCCGAAACCCGGUGAUCUAGCCAUGGGCAGGUUGAAGGUUGGGUAACACUAACUGGAGGACCGAACCGACUAAUGUUGAAAAAUUAGCGGAUGACUUGUGGCUGGGGGUGAAAGGCCAAUCAAACCGGGAGAUAGCUGGUUCUCCCCGAAAGCUAUUUAGGUAGCGCCUCGUGAAUUCAUCUCCGGGGGUAGAGCACUGUUUCGGCAAGGGGGUCAUCCCGACUUACCAACCCGAUGCAAACUGCGAAUACCGGAGAAUGUUAUCACGGGAGACACACGGCGGGUGCUAACGUCCGUCGUGAAGAGGGAAACAACCCAGACCGCCAGCUAAGGUCCCAAAGUCAUGGUUAAGUGGGAAACGAUGUGGGAAGGCCCAGACAGCCAGGAUGUUGGCUUAGAAGCAGCCAUCAUUUAAAGAAAGCGUAAUAGCUCACUGGUCGAGUCGGCCUGCGCGGAAGAUGUAACGGGGCUAAACCAUGCACCGAAGCUGCGGCAGCGACACUAUGUGUUGUUGGGUAGGGGAGCGUUCUGUAAGCCUGUGAAGGUGUACUGUGAGGUAUGCUGGAGGUAUCAGAAGUGCGAAUGCUGACAUAAGUAACGAUAAAGCGGGUGAAAAGCCCGCUCGCCGGAAGACCAAGGGUUCCUGUCCAACGUUAAUCGGGGCAGGGUGAGUCGACCCCUAAGGCGAGGCCGAAAGGCGUAGUCGAUGGGAAACAGGUUAAUAUUCCUGUACUUGGUGUUACUGCGAAGGGGGGACGGAGAAGGCUAUGUUGGCCGGGCGACGGUUGUCCCGGUUUAAGCGUGUAGGCUGGUUUUCCAGGCAAAUCCGGAAAAUCAAGGCUGAGGCGUGAUGACGAGGCACUACGGUGCUGAAGCAACAAAUGCCCUGCUUCCAGGAAAAGCCUCUAAGCAUCAGGUAACAUCAAAUCGUACCCCAAACCGACACAGGUGGUCAGGUAGAGAAUACCAAGGCGCUUGAGAGAACUCGGGUGAAGGAACUAGGCAAAAUGGUGCCGUAACUUCGGGAGAAGGCACGCUGAUAUGUAGGUGAAGUCCCUCGCGGAUGGAGCUGAAAUCAGUCGAAGAUACCAGCUGGCUGCAACUGUUUAUUAAAAACACAGCACUGUGCAAACACGAAAGUGGACGUAUACGGUGUGACGCCUGCCCGGUGCCGGAAGGUUAAUUGAUGGGGUCAGCGCAAGCGAAGCUCUUGAUCGAAGCCCCGGUAAACGGCGGCCGUAACUAUAACGGUCCUAAGGUAGCGAAAUUCCUUGUCGGGUAAGUUCCGACCUGCACGAAUGGCGUAAUGAUGGCCAGGCUGUCUCCACCCGAGACUCAGUGAAAUUGAACUCGCUGUGAAGAUGCAGUGUACCCGCGGCAAGACGGAAAGACCCCGUGAACCUUUACUAUAGCUUGACACUGAACAUUGAGCCUUGAUGUGUAGGAUAGGUGGGAGGCUUUGAAGUGUGGACGCCAGUCUGCAUGGAGCCGACCUUGAAAUACCACCCUUUAAUGUUUGAUGUUCUAACGUGGACCCGUGAUCCGGGUUGCGGACAGUGUCUGGUGGGUAGUUUGACUGGGGCGGUCUCCUCCUAAAGAGUAACGGAGGAGCACGAAGGUUGGCUAAUCCUGGUCGGACAUCAGGAGGUUAGUGCAAUGGCAUAAGCCAGCUUGACUGCGAGCGUGACGGCGCGAGCAGGUGCGAAAGCAGGUCAUAGUGAUCCGGUGGUUCUGAAUGGAAGGGCCAUCGCUCAACGGAUAAAAGGUACUCCGGGGAUAACAGGCUGAUACCGCCCAAGAGUUCAUAUCGACGGCGGUGUUUGGCACCUCGAUGUCGGCUCAUCACAUCCUGGGGCUGAAGUAGGUCCCAAGGGUAUGGCUGUUCGCCAUUUAAAGUGGUACGCGAGCUGGGUUUAGAACGUCGUGAGACAGUUCGGUCCCUAUCUGCCGUGGGCGCUGGAGAACUGAGGGGGGCUGCUCCUAGUACGAGAGGACCGGAGUGGACGCAUCACUGGUGUUCGGGUUGUCAUGCCAAUGGCACUGCCCGGUAGCUAAAUGCGGAAGAGAUAAGUGCUGAAAGCAUCUAAGCACGAAACUUGCCCCGAGAUGAGUUCUCCCUGACUCCUUGAGAGUCCUGAAGGAACGUUGAAGACGACGACGUUGAUAGGCCGGGUGUGUAAGCGCAGCGAUGCGUUGAGCUAACCGGUACUAAUGAACCGUGAGGCUUAACC
rnacentral:rRNA from 1 species